rnacentral:rRNA from 1 species
UACGUAGGCAGCGAGCGUUGUUCGGAGUUACUGGGCGUAAAGAGUGCGUAGGCGGUUUUUUAAGUUUGGUGUGAAAUCUCCCGGCUUAACUGGGAGGGUGCGCCGAAGACUGGAAGGCUUGAGUAUGGGAGAGGUAAGCGGAAUUCCUGGUGUAGCGGUGAAAUGCUUAGAUAUCGUCAAGAACACCGAUAGCGAAGGCAGCUUACUAAGCUCUAACUGACACUGAUGCACGAAAGUGUGGGGAGCAAACAGG